rnacentral:rRNA from 1 species
UAACACGUAUCCAACCUGCCGAUAACUCGGGGAUAGCCUUUCGAAAGAAAGAUUAAUACCCGAUGGCAUAAUAGAACCGCAUGGUUUGAUUAUUAAAGAAUUUCGGUUAUCGAUGGGGAUGCGUUCCAUUAGGCAGUUGGUGGGGUAACGGCCCACCAAACCUUCGAUGGAUAGGGGUUCUGAGAGGAAGGUCCCCCACAUUGGAACUGAGACACGGUCCAAACUCCUACGGGAGGCAGCAGUGAGGAAUAUUGGUCAAUGGACGAGAGUCUGAACCAGCCAAGUAGCGUGAAGGAUGACUGCCCUAUGGGUUGUAAACUUCUUUUAUAUGGGAAUAAAGUGAUCCACGUGUGGAUUUUUGUAUGUACCAUAUGAAUAAGGAUCGGCUAACUCCGUGCCAGCAGCCGCGGUAAUACGGAGGAUCCGAGCGUUAUCCGGAUUUAUUGGGUUUAAAGGGAGCGUAGGUGGACAGUUAAGUCAGUUGUGAAAGUUUGCGGCUCAACCGUAAAAUUGCAGUUGAUACUGGCUGUCUUGAGUACAGUAGAGGUGGGCGGAAUUCGUGGUGUAGCGGUGAAAUGCUUAGAUAUCACGAAGAACUCCGAUUGCGAAGGCAGCUCACUGGACUGCAACUGACACUGAUGCUCGAAAGUGUGGGUAUCAAACAGGAUUAGAUACUCUGGUAGUCCACACAGUAAACGAUGAAUACUCGCUGU